AUUGAACGCUGGCGGCAGGCUUAACACAUGCAAGUCGAGCGGAGAUGAGGUGCUUGCACCUUAUCUUAGCGGCGGACGGGUGAGUAAUGCUUAGGAAUCUGCCAUUUAGUGGGGGACAACAUUCCGAAAGGAAUGCUAAUACCGCAUACGUCCUACGGGAGAAAGCAGGGGAUCUUCGGACUUUGCGCUAAAUGAUGAGCCUAAGUCGGAUUAGCUAGUUGGUGGGGUAAAGGCCUACCAAGGCGACGAUCUGUAGCGGGUCUGAGAGGAUGGUCCGCCACACUGGGACUGAGACACGGCCCAGACUCCUACGGGAGGCAGCAGUGGGGAAUAUUGGACAAUGGGGGGAACCCUGAUCCAGCCAUGCCGCGUGUGUGAAGAAGGCCUUUUGGUUGUAAAGCACUUUAAGCGAGGAGGAGGCUACCUAGAUUAAUACUCUGGGAUAGUGGACGUUACUCGCAGAAUAAGCACCGGCUAACUCUGUGCCAGCAGCCGCCGUAAUAC
rnacentral:rRNA from 1 species